UUAAAGUYUAAUYUGCUCAAUGAAAAUUUAAAUAGCUGCAGUAUUUUGACUGUACAAAGGUAGCAUAAUCAAUAGUUUUUUAAUUGAAAGCUGGUAUGAAUGAUUGAAUAAAGUAAAAUUUGUCUCAUAUUUAAUGAAAGUAGAAUUUUUUUUUUUGUAAAAAUACAAAAAUGAAUUUAAAAGACGAGAAGACCCUAUAGAUUUUAAUAAAUAAUUUAUAUUAAACAUUUAAAUUUAAAAAUAAUUUAAUAUUAAUAUUUAUUUGGUUGGGGAAAUUUUUAAAUUAAUUAAAUUUUAAUUUAAUUAAAACAAUUAUAAUUGAUUAAUUGAUCUUAAUUUUUAAAUCUAAAGAAUAAAAUACCUUAGGGAUAACAGCGUAAUUUUCUUGGAGAGAUCAUAUUAAUAAGAAAGUUUGCGACCUCGAUGUUGAAUUAAGAUAAAAUUUUAAUGAAGGAGUUAAAAAUUUUUGGUCUGUUCGACCAUUAAAAUCUUACGUGA
rnacentral:rRNA from 1 species